rnacentral:lncRNA from 1 species
UUGGUGCUAUAAUUUAGUGUGAAGUUCAUUAUAAUCAAUCUGCUUAAAAGAAGCAAAACAAAACUCAGUUUCACCCUUCUGUAACUCAGUUCAGUAGUGACUAUUCUACCUCAGCGACUUGUAGGUUUUCAAGUUGGAAGUUGAGAAAACUUUACUUGUAGGGUCAAUGUGUUGUAGUGCCUCAACGGUCUGUACGUUUCAUGCUGGAAGUUGAGAAGACUGACUUGUAGGGUUAGAUGUUGUAAUUCAUGUUUUGAAUUAGUGGAUAAAUCAUAUUGUGUGAGUUGACUGGACAUAUCUACCACGUUGGUAGUGAACCGUUAUAACUUCUUUGUGAUUCUCCAUUCCCUCUGCUUUGUUUUCUUUCCAAUGCUUAUAUCGCUGAAUCAAAUUUUAAGAAAAGAAAUAAUUUUUAAAUAAAGGAAAAUACAAUUUAACCCCCUUAUUGUAUUUUUGCACUUUCAACUUAAAACUAUGAAUAUUCAUUUACCAUAUGUUAUAGUAAAUGUUUAUCCUCUUCUUCGAUGCUUGAGUUUAAUAUCAUAAAAGCUUUUAAUUUUCGAUGUCGCUCUUGGACUAGUCCUUCAAUUGUUGAGGUGGUAUGACACCUUUCCAACUGUGGUUGAAUAAAAUGUAAUUAUCAUGGGGUUGAUAGAGGUACUUCUAGUCUUGCUACUUGUGGGGGUACUUUAGAGAUUUUAAUAUUGUCACCCUUAGUUGUUUUGGUCUCCUUUAUUAAGAUUUUAAUAUAGCUAUAUUUUUAGUGAUUUUUUUUUUCUUUUUACCUUUUAUAAUUCAUAUUAUUUAAUAUUACUAUGUAGAACAUCAUUAUUUUUUAUAGAUGAAAAUAAAAUUUCAUGAAAUUAAAAUAAUAAUCAAUACAUCUCAAAAUAUGUUAUUUUUUUGUUAUAAUUAGGAGCAACAAAAAUUUCAAAUGUUUUCUUAUAUAUUAGAGGUAGCAUUCGUCAUUGCAUUUUUUUACUUUAGUAUUUGAUAUACUUCAUUCAUGUUUAAAUUAUUUUUCUUCAUUAAUUAUUUUUCAAAUUAAAAUUAGAUAUUAGAAGUAUUUAUGUUUAGUCCUUAGUAUUGAUUUUUUUUAGUAGAGAUAUGUGUAUAUCCUACUAUGUUAUUGCUAAAUGAUUUUACAAUAUAUAUUAAUUUACUAUAUAUUUAGUGAAUAAUUUAACAGUAUUUCUUUUUCCCUUUUAUAAGUCAUACUUUAUCUGGUCUUAAUUUUAAGAGAAUUUAAGAGAUUAAUUUGGUUGAAUUUACAAGAAAAAAAAAUAGUAUUUAAAAAUAUUUAUAUUUUAAAUAACUUUUUUAUCAUCAUUGAAAACAUUUGUCUACAGACAAAAAAAAGUGUCUUUUUUAAAAUAAUUAAAUUACAUAUUUUCUAUAAAACUAUAAUUGGAAAAACAAUCAAAGUGACAACAAAUUUCAAUAGUUUUGAUUUUUUUUUUGUUUCUCCUUAAAAUUGAGACUAGAGAAGCAUAAAAAUAUAACUUCUCGUAAAUACACAUUUGACAUUACUAUUUUUUGAAAAAUGUUUGACAACCAUUAAUUGUUGCACUAUAUUUAGUUCCUAUAAAAUUUGAAUAUUUUAUUUUUAGUUCAAAUAAUUUUUUUUUUAACAUUUAGUCUCUAGAUAUUUUUUGAUUUUAUUUUUUGUCUUUAUUUUUAAGUUAAAUUAUGUGUUUCUUUUAAAUUUUUAAUUAUUUUUUAUACGUAUGUUUAUAAUAUUACAAGAAUCUCUCCCACAAAAUUAAUUAAAUGUAAGUAUUAGACCAAGGCUAAAGCAUAACGAGUGUGAGAAUAAGCAAUUUGGUUGAAAAAUUGUGAGACACUAAUCCUAUACAAUAGUUAAAUGCUAUUUUCACUAUUUUGUUGAGAUACACCAUGUAGUUCAAGUCAUAGCUCUUAUUUUUAAAUUUUGUUCAUCACAUAUCAAUUUGUACCAACUCUUUAUUAACUAUGACAUAAUCUCAACAAAAUGACUCCAAAUGUGUGGCACUCAAGUCUAGGUACCAUUAAAUGACUCCACAUUUCAACAAUAAAAAAUCAAUCAUAUAGUUAUAUGAAACAAUUAUGAGAAACAUGUAAAACGAUGAUAGAUGACAAAUUUUGAACUAGAGUAAGGUCACCACAUUUUAAAACGUUUAUAAGAUUAUACAUAAGUGAAGCAUAUCAAAAGGAUGAAUCAAUUAAAACAAGUCAACAAUAUAAAAACUAGAGUAAGGUUGAUUUGACAAGUGAAAAUAAUGCAUCUUAGUGUCUUUACUUCCCAUUAACCUUUGUCACAUUACCACUCCAAAACAACCUUAGUCUCAUUAGAAAAGAGUUGUACGUACAAAAUAGCAUACUUUUUGACAUGUUCAAUAAUUCUGACAUACAUAAUUACUAUCUCAAUAAACAAAUAUAUAAAUAUAAACUUGAGAUAGUAAAAAUGAGCGAUUUAUUACAACAAAUCUCAAGAUGUAGGCUUCUUGAGCAAACUCUGAGUUUAUGAAGUUACAUGCUCAAAUUUCAGAACUUAAAUGGAAUUCACAAAAUCUACCCACAAUAAGAAAUUGAAACCUAUUUAAUAUCAUUGAUAUAAAGAGUGAAUCAUAAAACCCAAUUAUGAAAGAAAAAAAGGUAAAAGUUAGAAUAAAUUUAAUUUUUAUUAAUGAUUUUUACAUCAUUAAUUAACUAGAAGAUCUAAUAAACUACGUAAUCUUCAUAAGAGAUAUUUGAGAAAUUGGAAGAAAAAUGAAAGAGAAUGUGUGAAAAUUAGCUUUUAGAGAGGAGGCUUCAAUGUACAAAUAAUUUCCAGAUCCUGUGUAUGUUUCAUCAAAUGCCGGAAACUUAGAUUUUGAAUUGUUUGUCGAGAAUGAAUUCUAUACAAAAUGCUCACAAUAUUCAUAACUCUUAACUCAAUGUUUAUUGCUUUAUAUGAAGCGUGAGUUCAAUUUCAACUUCAAAUGUGAAGAAAAAGACAUAAUUCUAAAGCUCCAAGUUAUUAUAGCAUAAUGAAAAGUAAAUUAAAAAGUAAAAGGUUUUGAGAAUGUAACCUAGAUUCUUCAAUUGGAAUCCAAGUCUAGCGUCUACGAUAAGAAGGGCCGUAGUUGACGACAUUUGUUCAAUUGGAAUGCAACACCUAUGGAAGUGUUGUCAUUGCAAUCGACAGUUGCGAAACAGUUCUACAAGCGAAAAGAUAUUGCGAGAGGGUUUUCUGUGAGGGAGAUAUUGCGAGAGGGUUUUCGCCCCAAAUAGCACACAUUUAACAAUUUUUUUGUAGCUUUAUCACAAGUGUAUAACAAGGGUUUGAGUUUUAUUUUUGUUUGCUUGAAAUAGUUUAAGGUUUCUAAAAU